rnacentral:rRNA from 1 species
AUGCUCAAAGACCGGCACCUGUAUCAUCCCGGUGCUCAAGUUACUGUUCACUUGCUCGACGACACCACUACAGAAGGCCGCCUGCUCUAUCAUCAGGAGCAUUACGGCGUAGCUUUCUUUAAGGUUGCAGUGGAUGGACGUGUUCAACUAACCUCUUUUGCGGACACAGUCAACACUGGUCAGAAGGUUUUGCGGCUCGGAAGAGAAGAAAAUUUAAAUCUCAGGAUAACCCAUGGCAAGGUUAAACUAGACGAGGAGCAACUAGGAGAGGGACACCACCACAACAUGUACUUUUAUCCCGAUGAAAAAUAUGAGUCAGACCAUUUUGUCUAUUAUAACAAAAAAUUAUAUACAUAUGUUUUAGUGUGA